UGCAGCCGCCGCGGUAAUACGGAGGGUGCGAGCGUUAAUCGGAAUUACUGGGCGUAAAGGGCGCGUAGGCGGUCGCGCAAGUCGGGUGUGAAAGCCCCGGGCUCAACCUGGGAAUUGCAUUCGAUACUGCGUAACUAGAGUCUGGUAGAGGGAAGCGGAAUUCCGCAUGUAGCGGUGAAAUGCGUAGAUAUGCGGAGGAACACCAGUGGCGAAGGCGGCUUCCUGGACCAAGACUGACGCUGAGGCGCGGAAGCGUGGGGAGCAAACAGGAUUAGAUACCCUGGUAGUCCACGCCCUAAACGAUGAGGACUAGACGUUGGGGGGAUAAAACCCUUUAGUGUCGCAGCUAACGCGUGAAGUCCUCCGCCUGGGGAGUACGGCCGCAAGGUUGAAACUCAAAUGAAUUGACGG
rnacentral:rRNA from 1 species